CAUGACACUCUGUAAACCUCAGAAAUCACUUCCCUAUGGGUUCCAAGUCCAAAGCCUUAAGGUAGAAGCUGAAAACUCCUGGUGGCAGACUGCAUUUUCCAUGAAUGGCCACAGCAAUAUUUCUCAUCUCACAAGUUCUUCCAGAACUUUGCCACUCUUCUGUCAAGAGGUAGAACCUAUGUCCCUUUCUCUUGAUCCUGGGUGGGCUUUGACUAAGAGAAUAUGGUGCAAGUAACACUAUGGGCUUCAGAGGAUAGGUGACAAAAGGCAACAGAGCUUCUGCCUGCUUGCUCUCACUCUCUCUCUUUCUCCCUCUCUCUUAUCCUUAGAACUCAGGCCAUGUAGAGAGGCCACAUGGGAACUGAGGUUCCUAGUCCUCAGCUUCCACUGAGCUCCCAGCCAACAGCCAGCAAUAACUUGCCAGAUGUGUGCACAGGCCAUCCUGGAAGCAGAGGAUCCAGCCCUCAGCCAAGAUGCCCCAGUUGAUUCCAUGUGAACUAGGAAUGAGCCCUCCUGCUGAGCUCUGCCCAAAUUACAGAUCUGUGAGCAAACUAAAUGACAGUUGUAUUAAGCUACACAGAAAUAGAUAACUGGAAUACCACCCAUGUCUUUCUUUCCAAACUUAGUUAACUGAGUCUGAGCUAAAGAGAAUUCACACUGUAUAUCUUAUAUUGAAUACCCACUAUAUCUGGGGCAUGAUUGCUAAUAAUCCUCACAAUAGCCCUACAAUAGGAAACGAUCAUCCUCAUUUCACAGAUGGAGAGUUUAAUGGUAAGCCUGAACUCAGACUCAGACUUGUUUGACUUGAGAGCCCAUACCUCUUUCACUAAGCCAUACCAUCUCCAUUCACUCUAUGCUGUCUGGCCACCUGAGAGGCUGUCUGUAAGUCUAUCUCCUUAUUAACCCAUCAUUCCUGCUACUUCCAUGAUAAUCGGCAAGGCUGAAUGAUAGCUCUCAGUUCUAUGGGGUCUUUCCAGGAGAAGGGCCAAAGAGGAGUGGUUGAUCACAAAGUCAUCGGCACAAAAAGAUGGUGGCCAAGCUACAGUCCUGCAUGGCACAUGAGCCAGAUGAUCAAGUAAUGAAAGCUAUGCUAAGAAAUGUGGGCUUUAUCUUGUGGAGAAGGAGAUGCAGUAGAGGCUUUUUAAGCUUCUUCGGCUCCUUGGCCAUGUGUGUACUUUAUGAUGAAGCGCCCAGCUUCUGCAGGAUAUCCAUACUGCCAAGGUCAAAAGCAACAAUAAGCGACGUGGGGCUCAGUCUGUUCUCGUGGGCUACAAUGCAUGCUUCUGGUUUCCAGGUUGUUCUUGCUCUCCCUUAUUUUACAUUUAUCCUUCCUUCCCAACUGCCUGUCCGAUAGAUGUCGAGUCCCAACAUCAGAUGUGAAGAUGAGAGCUUUAUAGAGACUGCUUAACCAGCUCCCACAGUUGUAUUAGGACAAAUCCCUGUAGCAAAUCCCUUUGUGUGUGUGUGUGUGUGUGUGUGUGUGUGUAUGUGUGUGUGUGUGCGCGCGCACGCGCGUGCACGCACCUUAGUGGUUCUCCUGUGAUUGAAUCCUGACUUACACAGUUUGAGAUAGAAACCUUCUGAAGCAAUUAGAUUAAAUGGUCUAUAACUGUGCUGUCCAACAUGGUAGCCAUUAGCUACAUGUGGCUAUUUAAAUUUAAAUUAAUUAAAGUUAAACAUAAUUAGAAUUUAGUACCCCAGUCAAGUUUCAAGUGCUCAAUACUGUGGUCACAUGUGGCUGGUGGCCACUGUUUUGGGCAGCACAGAUAUAGAGCACUUCCGUUAUUGCAAAAAAAUGUUCUAUGAGCACUGGUCUAUAGUGAUAAUUACUAGUAUUUACUGAGUUCUCACCAUGUGUCAGAUGCAGAUUCCAAGUUUGCUCUGGAGAGCACGAUGCGGCAGGCAAACGGGGAAAGAGAGAGAGUGAUGGGAAUCAGGUGGGAGAUUUUUUUUUUUUUUUUUGAGAUGGAGUCUCUCUCACUCUGUCACCCAGGCUGGAGUGCAGUGGCACAAUAUCGGAUCACUGCAACCUCCGCCUCCCAGGUUCAAGUGAUUCUCCUGCCUCAGUCUCCCAAGUAGCCAGGAUUACAGACUUGUACCACCACGCCUGGCUAAGUUUUGUAUUUUUAGUAGAGACAGGGUUUCACCAUGUUGGCCAGGCUGGUCUCGAACCCCUGACCUCAGGUGAUCCACCCUCCUUGACCUUCCAAAGUGCUGAGAUUACAGGUGUGAGCCAUUGCACCUGGCCAGGUGGGAGAUUUUUAAUGACCAGGCCUGGAGGUGGCACACAUCACUUAUACCCACAUCCAUUGGCCAGCACUCAGUUACACGGCCACUUCUAACUACAAGGGAGGUUGGGAAAUGUAGCCUAGCUGUGUGCUGAGGAAGAAAAAGUAAAAGCUUUGGUGCCAGCCAGUCUCUGCCACAUCAGAUUUAAUUUGAGCGCUGUGAAGUAAUUAAUGCCCAUUAAACUAAGGGUGGGACAAGAUUAAUGCUAAAAUCACUCUCCCCAGCCACCAUUUUCUCUCUUGUUCUUUGUCAUGAUAUUGACAAGGUCAAAAGUCAGGCAGUCAGCAUGAACCCGAGGAGGAGAAGUCCUUGCCACUUUGAGGCUGAAUAUGAACAGCCCCUUCUUUAUGACUCACCCUAUCAGCUUUGCUCCUAGCGAAUGUUCAUAUCGUGGUUCUCCGGGACCCUUGAAAGUGGGACUCCUAUGUGAGGAACUAGUUCUAUAAACAACUACAUGCUAGUAAAAAACCAUUAAGAGGGUUGGAAUUAGGCAUAGUCCUGCUGCAUAGAAAUCCUACUUAGUUGGAAAAAUUGUAUUUUUAAGUUGCCUCUGUUUUGAAGCCACGUUAACCCUUAACCUUCAGAAAAUCCUUAGCCAGCCUUUAUACAUUGGUAGCUCCUGUUCUAAUAAUGUCUUCUCCUCCUAUUUUCUUUGGCUUGUCAUGAGCUUUGAAAGUUUGAUCUGAGAUCCCUCACUUUUAAUAAUCUGUAACUCUGAUUUGGUAAUCUCCUACAUAUGAAUAAAAUGUCUGUGUUCAUUUAUUUCUAAUGAAUAAAUGAACAUGCCUGCUGAGCCAAGCCUUAAAUGUGAUUAAGGAGACUGACUUGGGUUCAGAUCCUGGCUCUGCCUUGAGUAAGUUUCUAACAUUCCUCUGCUUGUAUUUCCUUAUCUGUAAAAUGGGAGUGAUUUCUUUGAAUGAAAUUAUAUUACAUUUAUCAAGCAUUUUAUCACAGUUUCAACAAUAAGGUGUAAUUAUUAUUAAUUCAGACUAUAUGAUUCUGUGCCCUUGGAUAAAGUUUACCAUUAUAUAAUAAACUACUUUUCUCACUUAAU
rnacentral:lncRNA from 10 species